CACGUAGGGUGCGAGCGUUGUCCGGAAUUAUUGGGCGUAAAGAGCUCGUAGGCGGUGUGUCGCGUCGGCCGUGAAAACUUGGGGCUUAACUCUGAGCGUGCGGUCGAUACGGGCAUCACUUGAGUUCGGCAGGGGAGACUGGAAUUCCUGGUGUAGCGGUGAAAUGCGCAGAUAUCAGGAGGAACACCGGUGGCGAAGGCGGGUCUCUGGGCCGAGUGACUGACGUGGAGGAAGCGAAAGCCGUGGGGAGCGAACAG
rnacentral:rRNA from 1 species